rnacentral:rRNA from 1 species
CCUACGGGAGGCAGCAGUGGGGAAUAUUGGACAAUGGGGGCAACCCUGAUCCAGCAAUACCGCGUGUGUGAAGAAGGGCUGCGGGUUGUAAAGCACUUUCAAUUGUGAAGAAAAGAUUAAGGUUAAUAACCUUAGUCCUUGACGUUAACUUUAGAAGAAGCACCGGCUUACUCCGUGCCAGCAGCCGCGGUAAU